AAAUAAUUCCUAUUGGUAGCGUGCCUCAGAUCGUCCACUACGCAGCGGCAUGUAUGCUGGGAGUAACAUCGUCGACGCAGCACCGGCAACUUGGAGAGCGUCAUGCCAUUGAAAAGCAGUGUCCACGUGAUGGCAGGGAACCUGUGGCCAUGGCUACAGCAGAACAGCGUGUAAUCUGGAUGUCAGGUGAACGAUGUCAUCUGGCCUGAAGUCCUAUGGCGGCAAUGCACGACCACAUUGGGGAGGCUGAGCUUCAGGGCAAGAGCCUUUAUGGAAAGGGCAGUAACAGGCACAAGGAGUACCCAGUGAAGGAGGGAUUGGACCCAGUUCAUCUGAAUGCUGUA